AUUGAACGCUGGCGGCAGGCCUAACACAUGCAAGUCGAGCGGAUGAAGGGAGCUUGCUCCUGGAUUCAGCGGCGGACGGGUGAGUAAUGCCUAGGAAUCUGCCUGGUAGUGGGGGAUAACGUCCGGAAACGGGCGCUAAUACCGCAUACGUCCUGAGGGAGAAAGUGGGGGUUCUUCGGACCUCACGCUAUCCGAUGAGCCUAGGUCGGAUUAGCUAGUUGGUGGGGUAAAGGCCUACCCAGGCGACGAUCCGUAACUGGUCUGAGAGGAUGAUCAGUCACACUGGAACUGAGACACGGUCCAGACUCCUACGGGAGGCAGCAGUGGGGAAUAUUGGACAAAGGGCGAAAGCCUGAUCCAGCCAUGCCGCGUGUGUGAAGAAGGUCUUCGGAUUGUAAAGCACUUUAAGUUGGGAGGAAGGGCAGUAAGUUAAUACCUUGCUGUUUUGACGUUACCAACAGAAUAAGCACCGGCUAACUUCGUG
rnacentral:rRNA from 1 species